rnacentral:rRNA from 1 species
GACGAACGCUGGCGGCGUGCUUAACACAUGCAAGUCGAACGAAGUGGCGAACGGGUGAGUAACGCGUAAUCAACCUGCCCUUCAGAGGGGGACAACAGUUGGAAACGACUGCUAAUACCGCAUACUGAAGGAGGGGAUUGCGUCUGAUUAGCUAGUUGGAGGGGUAACGGCCCACCAAGGCGAUGAUCAGUAGCCGGUAUGGGGAGGUGAACGGGCACGUUGGGACUGGGAAAGGGCCCAGACUGCUACGGGAAGGAGCAGGGGGGAAACUUGCGGCAUGGAGGGAAGUCCGACCGAACAACGCCGCGUGAUGGAGGAGGGCCGUCGGGUGGGAAAGCUCUGUUAAUCGGGACGCGGUACCGGAAGAGAAAGCAACGGCUAACUACGUGCCAGCAGCCGCGGUAAUUC